AUUGAACGCUGGCGGAAUGCUUUACACAUGCAAGUCGAACGGCAGCACGGACUUCGGUCUGGUGGCGAGUGGCGAACGGGUGAGUAAUGUAUCGGAACGUGCCCAGUCGUGGGGGAUAACGUAGUGAAAAUUACGCUAAUACCGCAUACGAUCUAUGGAUGAAAGCGGGGGAUCGCAAGACCUCGCGCGACUGGAGCGUCCGAUAUCAGAUUAGGUAGUUGGUGGGGUAAAGGCCCACCAAGCCAACGAUCUGUAGCUGGUCUGAGAGGACGACCAGCCACACUGGAACUGAGACACGGUCCAGACUCCUACGGGAGGCAGCAGUGGGGAAUUUUGGACAAUGGGCGAAAGCCUGAUCCAGCCAUUCCGCGUGCAGGAUGAAGGCCCUCGGGUUGUAAACUGCUUUUGUACAGAACGAGAAGGUUUCUACUAAUACUAGGAGCUCAUGACGGUACUGUAAGAAUAAGCACCGGCUAACUACGUGCCAGCCGCCGCGGUAA
rnacentral:rRNA from 1 species